GCCUGGCUGGCUCAGUUGGUAGAGCAUGGGACUCUUAAUUUCAGCGUUGUGAGUUCAAGCCCCACACUGGGUG
rnacentral:tRNA from 1 species